UACACAAGCACUGAGCUGAUUGUUGAGCCA
rnacentral:piRNA from 1 species